rnacentral:tRNA from 1 species
UCCUCCUUAGCUCAGUUGGUUAGAGCAUCUGACUGUUAAUCAGAGGGUCCAAAGUUCGAGUCUUUGAGGAGGAGC